UGGGGGAUAUUGCACAAUGGGCGAAAGCCUGAUGCAGCGACGCCGCGUGGGGGAUGAAGGCUUUCGGGUUGUAAACCUCUUUCGCUAUCGAACAAGGCCCGCUUAGGGUGGGUUGAGGGUAGGUGGAGAAGAAGCGCCGGCUAACUACGUGCCAGCAGCCGCGGUAAUACGUAGGGCGCGAGCGUUGUCCGGCAUUAUUGGGCGUAAAGGGCUUGUAGGCGGCUUGUUGCGCCGGCUGUGAAAACGCGGGGCUUAACUUCGCGCGUGCAGUGGGUACGGGCAGGCUUGAGUGUGGUAGGGGUGACUGGAAUUCCAGGUGUAGCGGUGGAAUGCGCAGAUAUCUGGAGGAACACCGAUGGCGAAGGCAGGUCACUGGGCCAUUACUGACGCUGAGGAGCGAAAGCAUGGGUAGCGAACAGG
rnacentral:rRNA from 1 species